rnacentral:rRNA from 1 species
GUGCCAGCAGCCGCGGUAAUACGUAGGGUGCAAGCGUUAAUCGGAAUUACUGGGCGUAAAGCGUGCGCAGGCGGUUAUGCAAGACAGAUGUGAAAUCCCCGGGCUUAACCUGGGAACCGCAUUUGUGACUGCAUAGCUGGAGUACGGCAGAGGGGGAUGGAAUUCCGCGUGUAGCAGUGAAAUGCGUAGAUAUGCGGAGGAACACCGAUGGCGAAGGCAGCCCCCUGGGUCAAGAUUGACGCUCAUGCACGAAAGCGUGGGGAGCAAACAGGAUUAGAUACCCUGGUAGUCCACGCCCUAAACGAUGUCAACUAGUUGUCGGGUCUUCAUUGACUUGGUAACGUAGCUAACGCGUGAAGUUGACCGCCUGGGGAGUACGGUCGCAAGACUGAAACUCAAAGGAAUUGACGG